rnacentral:rRNA from 1 species
GAAGGGAGGAAGGGCGGAGGGGGAGGCCGGGGCACGAGGAGCCGAGGAAGGACGGGACGAACGGCGAGAGGCGGCGGGGAGGGGGAAGGAAACGAGGAGCCGGAGAGGGCCGAAGGGGGAAACCGAACAGGGGGGACCGCCGGGGAGCACGAAGGGAAGGCAGAGCGGAGGGGAAGGGAGACGGGGGAACGGAAACAGCGAAGGACCCACAGGAAGAGAAAGAAAGGCGAGGCCCGCAGGAGCGGCGAGCGAACCGGGAAGAGCCCAAACGAAGAAGCGGGCGGCGGAGGGGGGAGGACGGAACAGGGGAGGGACCAAGAAAGGAAGGAGGGGAAGAAGCGGGGAAGAGGAGCCAAAGAGAGGGAGAGCCGCGGAAGCGAAACGGCGGGGCCGCAGGGCAGGAGCCGGAGGACGGCGGAACACGGGAAACGCCGGCGGAAGCCGGGAGGACCAGCGCCCAAGGCGAAAGACGACCGAGGGACCGAGAGGGAACCAGGACCGGGAGGGAAAGGGGAAAAGCACCCCGGGAGGGGAGGGAAAGAGGGCCGGAAACCAGAGGCCGACAAGGAGGCAGAGCGCGGGAAGGAGGGAGGGCGGGCCGGGGGGAGAAGGAACCGGCGAGGGACGGGAGCGGGCGAGGGGAAGGAGGAAAGGCCGGAGCCGGAGCGAAAGCGAGGCGGAAGAGGGCGAGAGAGGACGGGGACGGAGACCCGAAACCAGGGGACCGACCCAGGGCCAGGGGGAAGGGGCGGGAAAACGCACGGGAGGACCGAACCCGGGGAGGGGGAAAAAGGCGGGGAGGAGGGGGGGAGAGGGGAAAGGCCAAACGAACGGGGAGAGAGCGGGGGCGCGCCGAAAGAGCGGGAGGGCGAGCCGCGGAGGGAAGAAGCGGGGAGGGAGAGCACGGGGGGACGAGGGGCCCGGCGGGGGGACGGAAGGCAGAGAAACGCCGAAGGCCACAGAGGGAGAGCCGGGAGGCAGACGGCGAGGGAGAAGAGCCGGAGGCGAAAGGGAAACAGCCCAGACCACCGAGGAAGGGCCCAAAAGAGGGGGGAAGGGGAAAAGGAGGGGGAAGGGCAGAGACAACGAGGAGGGGGGCGGAGAAGCAGCCACCAGGGAAAGAGGGCGGAAGAGCGCACGAGGCGAGGGAGCCGGCGCCGAAAAGGGAACGGGGCGAAACACAGGACCGAAAGCGGGGAGGGACCGGAAGGGACAGGGGAGGAGAGCGGGCGAAGGACGGCGAAGCGAGACCGGAAGGACGGGGGGAGGGCGGAGAAGGGAGAAGGCCGGGAGGAGGAGCGAAAGAGCAGGGAGAAGCGGGGCCACCGGAGGACGAAGGGGGCCGGGGAAGGCGCGGCCGCCCAGGGGGAGGCGGGACCGAAGCCGAGGCCGAGAGGCGGAGGCGAGGGAGAACAGGGGGAGAGGCCGGGACGGGGGAAACGGGGGGAACAAGGGAGGGACGCAGGAGGCGAGCGAGGCGGACGGGGGGAGAGGGACGGGCAAGCAAGAAGGCGGGAGAGGAGGCAAAGGCGGAGCGACGGAAGGACAAGGGGGAGGAGGAGCGAAAGGAGGAGCGAAGGGAGAGACGGCACACGGCCAAGAAAAGCGGCGAGGGAGAGGGGAAGCACCCGGACCGCAAACCGACACAGGGAGGCGAGGCGAGGAGCCGAAGGGGAGCGAGAGAACGCGCGGGAAGGAACGCGGCAAAAGGACCCCGGAACGGCGGGAGAAGGGGGGCGGAGCGCAAGCGCAGCCGCAGGGAAGAGGCCCAGGCGACGGGGGAGCAAAAACACAGGGGGCGGCAAAAGCGGAAGAGGAAGGAGAGGGGCGGACGCCGGCCCGGGGCGGGAAGGGGAAGAGGAGGGGGAGCGGAAGCGAAGCGCAGAAGGGAAGCCCCAGGAAACGGCGGCCGGAACGAGAACGGGCCGAAGGGAGCGAAAGGCCGGGGCGGGGAAGGGCCGACCCGCACGAAAGGCGGAACGAGCGGGGCACGGGCGCAACGAGAGACGCGGGGAAAGGAGAAGACCCGGGAAGAGGCGGGGACCCGCGACAGGACGGAAAGACCCCAGGGAGCGGGACGGGAGCGGGAGAGGGGGGGGGGACAACGGGGACAGGAGAGGGAGGAGCCGGAGAAGGCGGAACGCGAGGGGCGAGGGAGGCAGGGGGGGAGACGACCCGCGGGGGAGGAACACGCGAACCCGCGCCGGCAAGCACGGCGGGAGACAGGGGCAGGGGGCAGGGGGACGGGGGCGGGCGCCGCCGAAAAGGGAACGGAGGCGCCCAAAGGGGCCGGCAGAAGGGGGGGAAAGCAGGCGCAGAGGGGAAAGGCAGAAAGGAGCGGGACGGCGAGACCGACAAGGCGAGCAGGGACGAAAGGCGGGCGGAGGGAGCCGGGGGGCCGGAGGGAAGGGCCAGCGCGCAACGGAGAAAAGCGACCCGGGGGAGAACAGGCGGAGCGCCCCCAAGAGGGCACAGCGACGGGGAGGGGGGCACCGCGAGGGCGGCGCAGCGCAGCCGGGGCGGGAGGCGGGCCCAAGGGGGGGCGGGGCGCCCAGGAAAGCGGGACGCGAGCGGGGGGCAGAACGGCGGGAGACAGGGCGGGCCCGAGCCGGCGCGGGCGGAGGAAAGGGGAGAGGAGCGGGCCGGAGGACGAGAGGACCGGGAGGGACAGACCGCGGGGGGACCAGGGGGGCCGCCAGGAGCAGCGCGGGGGAGCGAAGGAGGGAGGAGAGAAACGCGGAAAGCAGCGAAGGGCGAAACGCACCGCGAGAGAAGAGGGCCCAGGACGGAAGGAAGGAAGAGCCCGGAAAGAGGAGCAGGGAGAGAGGAGGGAAGGGGAAGGGCGGCGAGGCAGGGAGCGGACCAGGACGAAGCGAGCGAGGACGGAACCAAG